rnacentral:hammerhead_ribozyme from 1 species
AUCCAGCUGACGAGUCUCAAAUAGAACGAAACGCGUGUCCUAGAU